UGGGGAAUAUUGGACAAUGGGCGAAAGCCUGAUCCAGCCAUGCCGCGUGUGUGAAGAAGGUCUUCGGAUUGUAAAGCACUUUAAGUUGGGAGGAAGGGUUGUAGAUUAAUACUCUGCAAUUUUGACGUUACCGACAGAAUAAGCACCGGCUAACUCUGUGCCAGCAGCCGCGGUAAUACAGAGGGUGCAAGCGUUAAUCGGAAUUACUGGGCGUAAAGCGCGCGUAGGUGGUUAGUUAAGUUGGAUGUGAAAUCCCCGGGCUCAACCUGGGAACUGCAUUCAAAACUGACUGACUAGAGUAUGGUAGAGAGUGGUGGAAUUUCCUGUGUAGCGGUGAAAUGCGUAGAUAUAGGAAGGAACACCAGUGGCGAAGGCGACCACCUGGACUGAUACUGACACUGAGGUGCGAAAGCGUGGGGAGCAAACA
rnacentral:rRNA from 1 species